rnacentral:rRNA from 1 species
UACAGAGGUCCCAAGCGUUGUUCGGAUUCACUGGGCGUAAAGGGUGCGUAGGCGGUCGGGUAAGUCUGAUGUGAAAUCUCACAGCUUAACUGUGAAACUGCAUUGGAUACUAUCCGGCUUGAGGAAUGGAGGGGAGACUGGAAUACUUGGUGUAGCAGUGAAAUGCGUAGAUAUCGAGAGGAACACCAGUGGCGAAGGCGAGUCCCUGGACAAAACCUGACACUGAGGCACGAAAGCUAGGGGAGCAAACAGG